rnacentral:rRNA from 1 species
ACGAACGCUGGCGGCGUGCUUCACACCUGCCAGUCGAACGGAAAGGCCCUGCUUUUGUGGGGUGCUCGAGUGGCGAACGGGUGAGUAACACGUGAGUAACCUGCCCUUGACUUUGGGAUAACUUCAGGAAACUGGGGCUAAUACCGGAUAGGAGCUCCUGCUGCCUGGUGGGGGUUGGAAAGUUUCGGCGGUUGGGGAUGGACUCGCGGCUUAUCAGCUUGUUGGUGGGGUAGUGGCUUACCAAGGCUUUGACGGGUAGCCGGCCUGAGAGGGUGACCGGCCACAUUGGGACUGAGAUACGGCCCAGACUCCUACGGGAGGCAGCAGUGGGGAAUAUUGCACAAUGGGCGGAAGCCUGAUGCAGCAACGCCGCGUGCGGGAUGACGGCCUUCGGGUUGUAAACCGCUUUCGCCUGUGACGAAGCGUGAGUGACGGUAAUGGGUAAAGAAGCACCGGCUAACUACGUG